GUUUGAUCCUGGCUCAGAGCGAACGCUGGCGGCAGGCCUAAUACAUGCAAGUCGAGCGGUUCCUUCGGGAACAGCGGCGGACGGGUGAGUAACGCGUGGGAACGUGCCCUUUGGUACGGAACAACUGAGGGAAACUUCAGCUAAUACCGUAUGUGCCCCCCUUCUUAGCGGGAGGGGUGGGAAAGAUUUAUCGCCAUUGGAGCGGCCCGCGUUGGAUUAGGUAGUUGGUGAGGUAAAGGCUCACCAAGCCUACGAUCCAUAGCUGGUCUGAAAGGAUGAUCAGCCACACUGGGACUGACACACGGCCCACACUCCUACGGGAGGCAGCAGUAAGGAAUCUUGCGCAAUGGGCGAAAGCCUGACGCAGCCAUGCCGCGUGAAUGAUGAAGGUCUUAGGAUUGUAAAAUUCUUUCACCGGGGACGAUAAUGACGGUACCCGGAAAACAAGCCCCGGCUAACUUCCUGCCAGCAGCCGCGGUAAUACGAAGGGGGCUAGCGUUGCUCGUAAUUACUGGGCGUAGAGGGAGCGUAGGCGGAUAGUUUAGAGGAGGUGACCGCCGAGGACUCAACCUUGUGUUGUCGUUGAUACUGUCUAUGAUGAGUAUGGAAGAUGUAUGAGCUUCUAGUAUUGUAGAGAAGAUCCUCGAAGAUAUGCAUAACACAUGGUGAAGGACGCAAAUGGUGCACUACUACAGAUGAAGAUCCUCGAUUGCGUGAGAACAAACAGAUAUAAACAUCCUGUUCUCCACGCAAACACUAGAGCGCUAGUUGCAGUGGAGCAUCAUUGCGCGUCUCACCGAGUAUAGUACUUACUCUGAGGUAUUCGUCGCACAUAGACUCAACGAAUGCUGGCGACGCAACACGUGAGAGUGCUUAUCAAUCAGCUGACUUCCUCUACUAAUGCCGCUCACUCAGAUCGGCUGCAUCAUAGCGACUUGCAUGCUGCUCGCAGAUAAGACAGAGUCGUACGCGACGAUCACAAGAUAAUCUAAAUGAUGACUGAUGC
rnacentral:rRNA from 1 species